rnacentral:rRNA from 1 species
UACGUAGGUGGCAAGCGUUGUCCGGAUUUAUUGGGUUUAAAGGGUGCGUAGGUGGUCUAUUAAGUCAGUGCUGAAAUAUCCCGGCUUAACCGGGAGGGUGGCAUUGAUACUGAUGGACUUGAGUGGAGUUGAGGUAGGCGGAAUUGACGGUGUAGCGGUGAAAAUGCUUAGAUAUCGUCAAGAACACCGAUAGCGAAGGCAGCUUACUAAGCUCUAACUGACACUGAUGCACGAAAGUGUGGGGAUCAAACAGG